rnacentral:rRNA from 1 species
GACGAACGCUGGCGGCGUGCUUAACACAUGCAAGUCGAACGGAAAGGCCCUGCUUUUGUGGGGUGCUCGAGUGGCGAACGGGUGAGUAACACGUGAGUAACCUGCCCUUGACUUUGGGAUAACUUCAGGAAACUGGGGCUAAUACCGGAUAGGAGCUCCUGCUGCAUGGUGGGGGUUGGAAAGUUUCGGCGGUUGGGGAUGGACUCGCGGCUUAUCAGCUUGUUGGUGGGGUAGUGGCUUACCAAGGCUUUGACGGGUAGCCGGCCUGGGAGGGUGACCGGCCACAUUGGGACUGAGGUACGGACCAGAGGCCAACGGGAGGCAGCGGUGGGGAAUAUGGCACAGUGGGCGGAAGCGUGAGGCAGAAACGCUGCGUGCGGGAUGACGGCCUUCGGGUGGUAAACCGCUUUCGCCUGUGACGAAGCGUGAGUGACGGUACUGGGUAAAGAAGCACCGGCUAACUACGUG